rnacentral:lncRNA from 1 species
CACCCUCAUCGAUCAAUGAUACACAUCUGCAAGAGUUUUUUAGCAAGCCCAUUGAAAACACUCUAGGGAUGGAGACUUCGGGUGAACCUGAAAUCCAGUUAGGAGAAUAGAUUACUGCAUCCCAAUUAAUGUAAGUACUGAUUCAACAACAAGCUGCUACGAGAAAAGAUAUGAAAAAGAUAUUAGAGGCAUAGCAGGGACAACAACAGCAGA